CAGCAGCCGCGGGAAUACGUAGGUGGCAAGCGUUGUCCGGAAUUAUUGGGCGUAAAGCGAGCGCAGGCAGUUAGAUAAGUCUGAAGUUAAAGGCUGUGGCUUAACCAUAAUACGCUUUGGAAACUGUUUAACUUGAGUGCAAGAGGGGAGAGUGGAAUUCCAUGUGUAGCGGUGAAAUGCGUAGAUAUAUGGAGGAACACCGGUGGCGAAAGCGGCUCUCUGGCUUGUAACUGACGCUGAGGCUCGAAAGCGUGGGGAGCAAACAGGAUUAGAUACCCCAGUAGUCCCUGUCUCUUAUACA
rnacentral:rRNA from 1 species